CCUACGGGAGGCAGCAGUAGGGAAUAUUGCUCAAUGGGGGAAACCCUGAAGCAGCAACGCCGCGUGGAGGAUGAAGGUUUUAGGAUUGUAAACUCCUUUUGUUAGAGAAGAUUAUGACGGUAUCUAACGAAUAAGCACCGGCUAACUCCGUGCCAGCAGCCGCGGUAAUACGGAGGGUGCAAGCGUUACUCGGAAUCACUGGGCGUAAAGAGUGCGUAGGCGGGGUAAUAAGUCAGAUGUGAAAUUCUGUAGCUUAACUACAGAACUGCAUUUGAAACUGUUACUCUGGAGUGUGGGAGAGGUAGGUGGAAUUCUUGGUGUAGGGGUAAAAUGCGUAGAGAUCAAGAGGAAUACUCAUUGCGAAGGCGACCUGCUGGAACAUUACUGACGCUGAUGCACGAAAGCGUGGGGAGCAAACAGGAUUAGAUACCCCAGUAGUC
rnacentral:rRNA from 1 species